rnacentral:rRNA from 1 species
UCCGUAGGCGGGUAAUUAAGUCAGAGGUGAAAUCCUACAGCUUAACUGUGGAACUGCCUUAGAUACUGGUUAUCUUGAGUUUUAGUGAAGUAGAUAGAAUGUGUAGUGUAGCGGUGAAAUGCAUAGAUAUUACACAGAAUACCGAUUGCGAAGGCAGUCUACUAACUAACAACUGACGCUAAUGGACGAAAGCGUGGGGAGCGAACAGGAUUAGAUACCCUGGUAGUCC